rnacentral:rRNA from 1 species
GACGGACCGCACAAGGCGGUGGAUGAUGUGGAUUAAUUCGAUCGCAACGCGAAAACCUUACCUACCCUUGACAUGUUCGGAAUUCCGCAGAGAUGUGGAAGUGCUCGAAAGGGAACCGGAACACAGGUGCUGCAUGGCUGUCGUCAGCUCGUGUCGUGAGAUGUUGGGUUAAGUCCCGCAACGAGCGCAACCCUUGUCAUUAGUUGCUACAUUCAGUUGGGCACUCUAAUGAGACUGCCGGUGACAAGCCGGAGGAAGGUGGGGAUGACGUCAAGUCCUCAUGGCCCUUAUAGGUGGGGCUACACACGUCAUACAAUGGCUGGUACAAAGGGUUGCCAACCCGCGAGGGGGAGCCAAUCCCAUAAAGCCAGUCGUAGUCCGGAUCGUAGUCUGCAACUCGACUACGUGAAGUCGGAAUCGCUAGUAAUCGUGGAUCAGAAUGUCACGGUGAAUACGUUCCCGGGUCUU